UUUUUGGAGAGUUUGAUCUUGGCUCAGGACGAACGCUGGCGGCGUGCCUAAUACAUGCAAGUCGAGCGCUGGAAGCUAAUUUCAUCCCUUCGGGAUGAAAUUAGUGGAAAGAGCGGCGGACGGGUGAGUAACACGUGGGCAACCUACCUAUAAGACUGGGAUAACUCGCGGAAACGUGAGCUAAUACCGGAUAAUACUUUUUAUUGCAUAAUAAGAAGUUUGAAAGGCGGCGU
rnacentral:rRNA from 1 species